rnacentral:tRNA from 1 species
GUGGUGGUAGCAUAGGGGCUAAAGAGUUGGGCUAGCACCUGAAAAGUUGUGGGUUCAAUUCCCAGCUUCCACC